rnacentral:lncRNA from 1 species
UUGCUUUCAUCCAGGAUAUUGGGCAUUCCUCUAUAUAAAGGACUGCUGUCAGCCAGAUAUCCAUCCUUCAUUUUGUCUCUUCUGGUAAGAGAGCUCUGCUAGAGAGCUGCUUUCGUGCGAAAAUAUUCCUUGUCGUUUUCUCUUUGAGUUUUUUUAGAUUUUUGAUAGUUCUUCCAAUGAGUGAGAUUCCUGCAGGAGGUGGUUACUUGGAGAUUCCGACCAACGACUC